rnacentral:rRNA from 1 species
CAAAUGAAGAGUUUGAUCCUGGCUCAGGAUGAACGCUGGCGGCGUGCCUAAUACAUGCAAGUCGAACGCUGGAAAUCUAGCUUGCUAGAUUGAAGGAGUGGCGAACGGGUGAGUAAUACAUAAGCAACCUACCCACGAAGACUGGGAUAAUCUCUGGAAACGGGGACUAAUACCGGAUAGGUAAUCGGAAGGCAUCUUCUGGUUAUUAAAGGUUAAAAACACUGGUGGAUGGGCUUAUGGCGCAUUAGUUAGUUGGUGAGGUAACGGCCCACCAAGACGAUGAUGCGUAGCCGGCCUGAGAGGGUGAACGGCCACAUUGGGACUGAGACAC